CUGAUUUACAGUACACUGUAAAAAAAAUCUGUAAAAUAACAGUUAAAUGACUGUAUAUUUUAACAGAUUUUUUCCGUAUACACGUAUUACGGGUGUUUUUCCGUUUAUAUACAUUUUCGAAUUGCAUUGUGGGAAGGGGAUCGCAGCUCAGACAGCGUUUGAUGGACACCGGGACAUAUUUCUUCCUCUGUUUUUUCCCUGGUAAGUACGAUUAAUAAAACAUAUAACAAUAUUUUAGUUAAAAGACUGCUUUAUUACCUUUUUAUCGUUAUUUAAAAUGAUUUUUGUCUUUUAUGAAGCGCCCAUGGAAAGUACAGCAUUGUUUGUCCGUAUUUUUCUAAACUGCCGUGCGCGGGAAGUGGCGUGACGUCCCAAUCACCCACUCACUCCCUCUGCACCUGACUGGAUUAACGGUAAACGUCAGUUUGUCUGUAAGAGUGUAAAAGGUUCUUUCAUUUUGGUUAUAAGUACAUGUUACAGGUAAAUUCUUAGAUUCAAUCCAAACUGAAUUUGAAUUAAUACGGACAAAUGAAAUAAAAUACACCUGGGAUUUUAAAUGUUUUCAUUUUUUUAUUAUUCACAACGUUUGUGAAGUCUAAAUGUAGACUGUCUCAAACUGAAUAAGUGUUAUUUUUGUUGUAGGUGUGUUGGUGUAAAAAUUGAUGCUGACUGAACUCAGGCAGUUGUGCUGGACCAUCUGUACCUAAUACAGGGGAUGACAGUUAAACUUCCAAGUUUAAGAGCCACCUGAUGAUGAGAGAGACAAUUUCAAUGUGGGCAUCUUGAUGAAGAAGAGUCCACAGUCACAAUAACAAGAUCAUUGAGCUGUCCCCUAAUUGUGGUGAGCUACAUGUUUAGUCUCUUAUGUGCUAAACAUUAUGUAGCCUAAGGAAGCAGCCCUGACUCUGGAGUUUAUAUGAAGGAGCAUGCUGAGUAACUAUCCAGAAUGUAGGUCCAAAGCAGAAAAAAGAGCACCAAGCAGAAACAUACCAUCUAAACUCCUUCGAUUCCUGUCAGACCAGAAAGACUUUCAGAAUCCUUGGAAGAUUUAAAGCCAUUGAAGUAUCAGUAUUGGAGCGGAAGAAGACCCAGUUGUAUCGUCUGUUUCCUGCCAUCUUGCAGUUAACCUGGUUUCUUAAUGUAAAGUACUUGUAAUUUGCCCACUUGUCCUCAAUUAUCUUAAAGCUAACAUUUAAAACUAAUUUGCUUUGAGAUUAUUUGCCAAGACUUCUCACUGUGUGAUUCACAUGUCAAUAUGUAUUUAUUGUGUGUAUAACUUGCUAUUUGGAAUUCAAAUGAUUUGUAUU